UACGGGAGGCAGCAGUGAGGAAUAUUGGUCAAUGGCCGGAAGGCUGAACCAGUCAAGUCGCGUGAGGGAAUAAGGCCCUAUGGGUCGUAAACCUCUUUUGUCAGGGAGCAAAGGCGUCCACGUGUGGACGAGAGGAGAGUACCUGAAGAAAAAGCAUCGGCUAACUCCGUGCCAGCAGCCGCGGUAAUACGGAGGAUGCGAGCGUUAUCCGGAUUUAUUGGGUUUAAAGGGUGCGUAGGCGGGAUGCCAAGUCAGCGGUAAAAAUGCGGUGCUCAACGCCGUCGAGCCGUUGAAACUGGCGUUCUUGAGUGGGCGAGAAGUAUGCGGAAUGCGUGGUGUAGCGGUGAAAUGCAUAGAUAUCACGCAGAACUCCGAUUGCGAAGGCAGCAUACCGGCGCCCUACUGACGCUGAGGCACGAAAGCGUGGGUAUCGAACAGGAUUAGAUACCCUUGUAGUC
rnacentral:rRNA from 1 species